rnacentral:snoRNA from 1 species
UAGUCCAUUAACAUUUAAGGUAAUUACUCUCAGCAGCCCAUGUUUUCCCUCCAAUCACAUUUAAGUCAUGUGUGUGGGGACAUGGAGCAGCUGAUAACAUGGGAUUCUGUCAGCGUGUGUUUCUCAGAGUGUGUGGUUCCUAGCUGACAAAUGUCCAACAGAACCAUCUGUACCAGGAGAUUGAUGAGCAGCAGCCAUGGGAGUGAUGGUGCAUGAUCUCAACUUUUCAAUCU